CGCCCUAAACGAUGUACACUAGUUGUUGUGAGGCUUGACCUUGCAGUAAUGCACCUAACGGAUUAAGUGUACCGCCUGGGGAGUACGGUCGCAAGAUUAAAACUCAAAGGAAUAGACGGGGACCCGCACAAGCGGUGGAGCAUGUGGUUUAAUUCGACGAUACGCGAAAAACCUUACCUGGUCUUGACAUAAUAAGAACUUUCUAGAGAUAGAUUGGUGCUAGCUUGCUAGAACUUAUAUACAGGUGCUGCACGGCUGUCGUCAGCUCGUGUCGUGAGAUGUUGGGUUAAGUCCCGCAACGAGCGCAACCCUCGUGUUUAGUUGCUAACAGUUCGGCUGAGAACUCUAAACAGACUGCCUACGUAAGUAGGAGGAAGGUGAGGACGACGCCAAGUCAUCAUGGCCCUUAUGACCAGGGCUACACACGUGCUACAAUGGGGUAUACAGAGAGCCGCAAUACAGUGAUGUGGAGCAAAUCUAUAAAAUAUCUCUCAGUUCGGAUUGUAGUCUGCAACUCGACUACAUGAAGUUGGAAUCGCUAGUAAUCGUGGAUCAGCAAUGCCACGGUGAAUACGUUCCCGGGUCUUGUACUCACCGCCCGUCACACCAUGGGAGUUGAAUUCAUUCGAAGCGGGGAUGCUAAAGUAGCUACCUUCCACAGUGGAUUUAGCGACUGGGGUGAAGUCGUAACAAGGUAACC
rnacentral:rRNA from 1 species